UACGAGAGGACCGGAGUGGACGCACCGCUGGUGUUCGGGUUGUGAUGCCAAUUGCAUUGCCCGGUAGCUACGUGCGGAAAAGAUAAGCGCUGAAAGCAUCUAAGCGCGAAACUUGCCUCGAGAUGAGUCUUCCCUUGGACCUUGAGUCCACUGAAGGAACGUUUAAGACUAAGACGUUGAUAGGCUGGGUGUGUAAGCGUAGCGAUACGUUGAGCUAACCAGUACUAAUGAUCCGUGAGACUUAACCUUACAACACCGAAGGUGUUU
rnacentral:rRNA from 1 species